UUUAACCAAGGUUGACCUCGGAUCAGGUAGGAAUACCCGCUGAACUUAAGCAUAUCAAUAAGGCGGAGGAA
rnacentral:rRNA from 1 species